rnacentral:misc_RNA from 1 species
GAAAUGCGAUAAGUAAUGUGAAUUGCAGAAUUCAGUGAAUCAUCGAAUCUUUGAACGCACAUGGCGCUCGCCAGUAUUCUGGCGAGCAUGCCUGUUCGAGCGUCAUUUCAACCAUCAAGCUCUGCUUGCGUUGGGGAUCCGCGGCUGCCCGCGGUCCCUCAAAAACAGUGGCGGGCUCGCUAGUCACACCGAGCGUAGUAACUCUACAUCGCUAUGGUCGUGCGGCGGGUUCUUGCCGUAAAACCCCCAAUUUCUAAGGUUGACCUCGGAUCAGGUAGGAAUACCCGCUGAACUUAAGC